UGUCUUCUGGGAUGUUCGUGUGUUAACUAUGUCCCUGAGCCGAUAAGUUUUACCUAAGGGGAUUUAUCAUUAACUAUUGAGCAAGCCCGGCUCGUAUCGGGAAGCCUACGGUUUCUGUGCAAUCUCCGCCCUGAACACCCGGUGUUCAGGACUAAUGUUGACAACGGCAUUCUGGAAGCAGG
rnacentral:other from 1 species